rnacentral:pre_miRNA from 11 species
GUCCUGUGGCACCUUAGGGUACAUCUGGACUACAUGGCUCCGUCGACGGAGCCAUGUAGUCCAGAUGUACCCUAAGGUGCCACAGGAC